AUUGAACGCUGGCGGCAGGCCUAACACAUGCAAGUCGAGCGGAGCGGCGGACGGGCGAGUGAUGCAUAGGAAUCUGCCUGGUUGCGGGGGAUAGCGUCCGGAAAGGGGCGCUAAUACCGCAUACUAUCAGAUGAGCCUAGGUCGGAUUAGCGAGUGGGUGGGGUAAAGGCCUACCAAGGCGACGAUCCGUAACUGGUCGGAGAGGAUGAUCAGUCGACCGGGAACUGAGACACGGUCCAGACUCCUACGGGAGGAAGCAGUGGGGAAUAUUGGACAAUGGGGGAAAGCCUGAUCCAGCCAUGCCGCGUGUGUGAAGAAGGUCUUCGGUUUGUAAAGCACUUUAAGUUGGGAGGCGUUACCAACAGAAUAAGCACCGGCUAACUUCGUGCCAGCAGCCGCGGUAAUAC
rnacentral:rRNA from 1 species